GAUGAAGAACGUAGCGAAAUGCGAUAAGUAAUGUGAAUUGCAGAAUUCAGUGAAUCAUCGAAUCUUUGAACCCACAUUGCGCCCGCCAGUAUUCUGGCGGGCAUGCCUGUUCGAGCGUCAUUUCAACCCUCAGGCCCCCAGUGCCUGGUGUUGGGGAUCGGCCCAGCCUUCCUGUAAGGCCGCCGGCCCCGAAAUCUAGUGGCGGUCUCGCUGUAGUCCUCCUCUGCGUAGUAGCACAACCUCGCAGUUGGAACGCGGCGGUGGCCAUGCCGUUAAACACCCCACUUCUGAAAGUUGACCUCGGAUCAGGUAGGAAUACCCGCUGAACUUAAGCAUAUCAAUAAGCGGAGGA
rnacentral:misc_RNA from 1 species